rnacentral:lncRNA from 1 species
CUUGGAAACGGGAGAGACUGUGGCUAUAAAAAAGGUUCUGCAAGACAGAAGAUACAAAAAUCGUGAACUGCAGUUGAUGCGUGUGCUGGAUCAUCCAAAUGUGAUUUCCUUGAAGCAUUGUUUCUUUUCCACGACAACUAAAAAUGAGCUUUUUCUUAAUUUGGUUAUGGAAUACGUACCGGAGAGCAUGUACAGGGUUUUGAAACAUUACAGCAGUGCAAAUCAAAGAAUGCCGCUUAUAUAUGUUAAACUUUACACAUACCAGGUGCGCAUAGUAGUCUUUUCCAUUCUUGGUUUGUUGCACAAUUUUCUUUAUUCUAAUUAGAUGAAGUUUUACAGAUAUUCAGGGGGCUUGCAUACCUCCACAGUGUUGUCGGAGUUUGCCAUAGGGAUUUGAAGCCUCAAAAUGUUUUGGUACUUUUCUUACUAAUGAUUUUUUGUUGAUUGUUUCAAAUAUGUUACUAAGAUAAUUUUGGCCUUUUACAGGUUGAUCCUUUGACUCACCAGGUUAAGAUAUGUGAUUUUGGAAGUGCAAAAGUGCUUGUAAGUUAGCUCACUCUAUACUUAUUUUUCAAUGUCUCUUCCUUUCAAUUUUGUUGGGUCCAUAAGCUUCUAAUACUAAAAUAGGAUUUUGGCUCUGCAUUAUGUGAAUGUUUUCUUCUGAUCCUAAUUUCUUAAGGAUUUUCAUGUGUUAUCAUCUGCUAUUUUCAAGAUCAAGGGUGCAAGUUGCUACUCUUGCAAUUAUUUGCAAAAUUUGCAUUGUGACAAUACAAUUAAGUGACUACUUCCUGUUGAUUCAUGAUUGUGCAAACUACUGAAACUUGUUUUAACUUUUUUAUCUUCAUUUGUAUCAUCUUAAAUACUAUAAAUACAGAAUCUAAGCAACCUUUUCAAGCUUAGCCCUCUUGAAAGAGGCACUUCCCUUGUUAGAGUUUCCCCUUUCAUUUAGCUUCCUUUCUGGCCUCUUUGUGGUGUGAAGAGAUGAAAAGGAUUGGAUUGGAUUAAGAUUAUUUUAGAUAAAAGAGUACUAUUAUCAUGCUUACGGUCCUCUUUUGCUCGUAUUUUUAUCUUAAAACUUUAUACUUACUAUUAAUUUACUUUCAAUCAGGUCAAAGGUGAAGCUAACAUUUCAUACAUAUGCUCGCGUUUCUAUCGGGCCCCAGAACUUAUCUUUGGCGCGACAGAAUACACAACCUCAAUUGAUAUCUGGUCAGCUGGUUGUGUUCUAGCUGAACUAUUGCUGGGCCAGGUUUGCCUCUUCCCUUUUUAUUUCUUUAUUUAUUAGUUUGAUAUAUCAUACCUACCAAUCUUUUAGUUUCUAUGGUCCUUGAUGCCUUUUUCUUUUCUUGUGUAGCCGUUGUUUCCCGGAGAGAAUGCUGUGGGCCAGCUUGUAGAGAUUAUUAAGGUAUGAUUUGCUUUGCAAUGCUUGAUGUUGUGCAUUUUAUUGAUUGUACCAUCUGUCUGCUCAUUACAUCUUUUCCUCCAGGUCCUAGGUACUCCUACUAGGGAAGAAAUUCGCUGUAUGAAUCCCAAUUACACGGAUUUUAGGUUUCCACAGAUGAAAGCGCAUCCGUGGCAUAAGGUAAAUACCUUUUUCUUGUACUUUUUUAAAUUUGUCACUGAAAUGAUUGGUGUAGAGACGUAUUAUUUUUGUAAUGCCUUCAGAAUAUCUUUCUCAUGAAUGUCUGCUUUUUUAAAAAAAAAUAAAAAUACAAAAUUCUUGAAUAUCUUCUGUUUGGUACAAGGUCAAUUUACAAAUUGUGGGAGUGAGAAUUACAUCAACAGGGUUUGAACCCUAGUCACAAGGAGCCUUAACCACUGCUCCCUUAUAAUGUUGACAAAAUUCUUGAAUAUCUUGAAUUAUGUUUUACUUGACUCUAUGUUUUUAGGUUUUUCACAAAAGGAUGCCUCCCGAAGCAAUCGAUCUUACUUCACGACUGUUGCAAUACUCACCUAGUCUUCGCUGUACAGCUGUGAGUUCCGAGUGUCUCCCACUUUUGAUGAGUGAUAUUUCCAUUUUAGACUGGGAAAAUAUGCACAAAUUAUUCAAUUAUCAUUUCGCUUCCAAUAGUUAUGUUUUAGUAAUAACCAUCCCAGUCUUAUGUUUCUGUAAUCUGCCCUUUGCUACGACAGCUUGAAGCAUGUGCGCAUCCCUUCUUUGAUGAGCUGCGAGAACCUAAUGCUCGCCUACCAAAUGGUCGACCUUUACCGCCACUCUUUAACUUCAAACAGGAAGUAUGUUUCUGAACUAAACACCAUUCCAACAUUCUUUUCCUUCGUACAAAGAUGUCAGUUUCUCAUUGAAUCAACGGGUUUCUUUUGGUUACAGUUAUCUGGGGCUUCACCGGAGCUGAUUAACAAGUUGAUUCCUGAUCAUGUGAAACGGCAGAUAGGGCUCCAACAUUUCAUGCAUCCAGCCGGAACAUAAAACUUCAAAACUGAUGUAAGACUCAGUAUCUCCUAGUCGACACAGGACACAAAGGAAAGUACUAUCGAUGGAUAACCACCACCGAUCUGAGCCUGUCUCAACGGCACGUAAGUCUCAGGCCAGCCUCUCUUGCUCCUUUAUUCUAUGAAUAUUAGCUGUUUGUGAAAAUGGGUUUGUUAUAUGUACAUGUAAACAUGUUUGAUAGUAAAAGAUGAAGACUUUAAGGUGAAAAAGACCAUAAAAGGGUGCUAGUGGGGGGAAAAGUACCGAUAGAAAUGGCCCAAAGAUAGGCUUUAGAUUGGUUCUUGUGUUUUUUAGUUAUUGUGGUAGCUGACUUCAAAUGGCAGACAAUUUAUUGUUACUGUUAGUGUGCAAAGUAAUAUUAUUACUCUUUUCUAAUACUGGAAUAAGAAACUAAACCGGCCAGUGAGAUCGGUUGAAUAAAAAAACUGAUGGUUUCUAUAAGAAUAGGGUCCUAUCAAAAAAUCAGUCCAACUGGUAAAGGUUGAAUUGAAGAUUAUGUGAUCCAAGUUAAAUAAAUUCGUUGAAGUUGGAAUCGGAUUAUUUUCAACUUUGAAUUUCAAUAAAUCUAAUUUCGGUACAGCCUUUCCAUUCUAUUACUUCUGUAUUCUGUUUCCACAGGGUAGUUAGUUCGUUCCUCGAGGUAAUUUAUUAUUCAUUUGAAGGGUUACUAUUAGUUGCAAAGAAGGGUUAAGAAUUCUAUUUAUUUAUUUUUAGAUUUUUAAAUAUAAUUCAAUUAUCUAAAGGAUAUUUGUUGUCAUCAAACCCCGGCCUGUGGAAUUUUUUUAUUAUUUAUUGCAAGUGGAAUAGAAAAUAAAACGCUUAAUAUAUUAUUUGAUACUCGAGUUUCACGCUUGUUUUUAAUAUGGCUUUUGUAUUUUUCUUGUCCAAUUUGGUACCUGUAUUUGACAAAAAUUAUAUAUUUUGGUACUCAAAGAUAACUGUGCGUUCACUUUUCAGUGUUUAAUUCGAGUUUUAGGGUUGAUUUGAUGAAAGUUAAUUGUUAAUAUUAUUAGGCUUGAUUUUUCAUGAUUUUGUUAAUAGAAUAAGUUUAGUGUUAAUUGUGAAUUUGUUUAGUUUUGAGUUGAAUUUGUCAAAUAUAGUUUGAUAGGUAUGAUUUAAUUCGAGUUUUAGAAUUGAUUUGAUGAAAGUUAAUUGUUAAUAUUAUUAACUAAUUAUGAAUUUUCAUCAAUUCAAUUCUAAAAUCCGAAUAUUUAACAUUAAAAAAUAACAUUUUUUUGUCCAAUACAAGUGCUACUUGGCACAAGGUAUCACAUUAUAUACAAAUUAUAUAUCUAUCAAGCCAUAAAAAAAACUAGACAAAAGUGUUUAAGAUGUCUUUUUUUUAAUUUAUUUUUCUUUUUUACAAUAUAUUAUAUGAUAAUAGGUUACAUGCUUAAUAUUCUUCCAUUGAAAUAACUGACCAAGCCCAUAUGUUAAAAGUAAAAUAAUAUUUUAUAAUGUAAAAUAUGAUAAAUUUUAUUAUAUUUAAAUUCUUAAAUGGAAAUGCAAAAUGAUUAAAUGAUUUUUUUAAGAAGUGAUAAAUAUAAUUGUGAGUACUUUUAUUAUCUCUUAACAUAAUUUAUAAAUCCAAAAUAAAUUUAGAAAGUUUAUCACAAUCUUUUCUUCUUCUUUUUCUUUGAAAACAAUUUUUAUAAAUAUAUUUUUAUAUAACUUUUUCCCGUGACGUUAUAAUUAAGUUUUUUUUAAGUAUUUUUAAUUUCACAUAAAACUUCUUUUAAUAUUUUUUUAAAGUAUUACUAUUAGAGAAAUUAUAAAUUUUAAAGGAAUUAAAGUGUAAUUUUAUUUUUUUAUAAUUUCACCAAUUUUUAAAGGAAUAUUAUAUCAAAAUAAUUUGACGGUCAGGGCACCAGCACUCUUGGCGGCGUCAGUUCCUGACUAUGUUCUAAAGUGAAUAUACGUUUGGAGAAAAACAAAAUAAUAAAAAUAAUUCAGUUUUGCUCUUAGUGCUUAUAUUUUUUAAACUUACUUUUAAUUUCAGGAAUUUAAUUUUUACUCAAUUUAAUAGUUAAAGUUUAAUUGUUAAUAAUAAUUAGACCUGAUUAUGAGUUGGAUCGAGUCUAUGUAGAAUUUUAGAACUGUUUUUUAUGCUUGAAUUCACCAAACUCAAAAAAUGAAUUUAAAAUUUUAUUCAAAUUUAACUUAAAUUAAAAAUGUUAACCCAGACAGGCUUGGAUUAAGUGUUGCAACCUCAGGGCCGAAGAGAUUGCUCCCAAAGUGGUGGACAUGUCACGCAUGCUCUCUUUUAUUUGGCCAUGUGGAUUUUAAUAUAUUAGUAAAAAUACUAGUAUAUAAACAUUUGCAGUCUAGACCUGUCAUGCUUCUGUUGGUGUUAUAUAUUGCUUUCCUCUUUUAAUUUAAAACCAAAAUUAGUUUUUUUAUUUAUUUGCUUAGAUAUAUUAGCAGACGCCAGUUGUGGACAACCAGCUCUGCUUUUAGUUUCAGAUUAAUUAUAUUUUUUUCUUUUUCAAGAUAGUAUUUUUUAUACCAUCAUCCAGAUAAUAAUUAGCUGAGAGUAAAAACAUUGCAUGAUGAGGAACAUGCAUAUAAAUAUAUAAAACAUAAAAAAAAAAUUAGAAAAGAUUGUUGUCAGCAAUGCAUUGUUGGCUAAAUUCUUCUGGCAUAGAGGGGAAAAAUAAAAGAAAGUAUAUGCAUUUGAUUUGGGUUGGGUCAGGGAAAAAAUAAUUUACUUUGAGGCUUGGGCGAUUUAAAAAAUGAAUUGUAUUUUUUAAGUUUAUAUUUUUGUUCAAAUUUUUUCUCUAGGUUUUUAAAUCUAGACAGAUAACCCGAUUCAUAAUCAGAUUUAAUAAAAAUAGAAGAGUUUUAUUAAAUUGGAUAAUGUGACAUUUUAAAAAAGAAAAUCUUAUAAUUUCAAAAUCAAAUUUUUUAUUUACUUAUUUUUUCUUUCGCUUCCAAGUAAUUUUUUUAAAAAAAAUAUAGUAUAAUUUAAUUCAACGAAAAUAUUUUUUAAAUAAAAAAAAGUAAAAAGAUUACAUUUUUGAAAUUAAAAGCAAAACAAUUAAAUUACAAAUAUGCGAACAACAUGUAAGUAUUAUACAGCUUGCCAGACCUAAACAAUUAGGAUAAUCCUACCCCAUCACAUCAAGUUACGUACCAAACUUAAUAAAGCACUUAGGGUCCUUAGCCUUUAGCUCAGAGUAUAACAUCCCUUUUUAGUUUUUAGGUAUUCAAUUAAACCCUUUAUCAACAAAUUUUUUAGUUUUACCCCCCAAAUUUCUUAAAUUUUAUAUUAGCCCACCCAAUAAUAAAUUGUUGGUUCGGCCCCUUGAAGCUCUCAUGUUGAAUAAUAAGCUUAUCAAUCAAAAGAUGACACGUAACCUAUAAGUGUUCCCUUUAAAUACUUCUUCAUACAACGUAACAGAGAGAUCAAUCUUUCUUCUACCACUCUCUCUUGACUAUGCCUCUUUGAAUUUCUUUACAAUCUCUCCUCCUACCAUUUUGUCACUUGUAACUCUUGGCCUAUCGGGUGAACCAUCUUUUAUCUCCUCGCCACAUUCUUGUAUCAACAAUUGAUACUGUGAGCAAAUGUAACAUGACUCGCUCAAACUCAAAUAGAAUUUUAAAAUUGUAAAAUUGUCAAAAAUUAAACUAUCAACAUGCAUUUUUUUUCCCUUUUUUUAUUACACUUUGAUUUGAAUAUGUAUAUAAUAUUUUUACCAUGAUAGUGACUUUCUUAUACCAAACUAGCCGGUAACUAGGGGCUAAAUUAGGUAUAUAUGUCGUUUUUAAAAAAAUAUUUAAGUGAUUAGACCAAUUUCUGGGAUAUUUACAGGAAUAAGUUGAUUUUGGAGAGAGAAAGCGAAAAGGUGUCCAGUUAGACGUGCUUUCAAUUUCCUUCCGACUUUUUUAACAAAUUAUCUUUUUUGGUAGGAUGGUUAAAUGUUAAUAUUUUUAUUCUUGAGUUUCGGGUUUGAUUCCUCUCCUACUCACAUUUGUAUUUUUUAUUUUAUGUUACUUCAAGCUUUUUUUUAUUUUUAAUUAAUGUUUUUAUUAUAUUAGCUCUUUUGGUUAGAUGGUUAGAUAAUUGCAAUUACAUCCUUGAGUCCUAAGUUCAAUUGUUUUUAUAAGCAUAUUAAUGUAUAUUUUAUUUCAUGUUGUUUUAAACUUUUUUUAAUUAAUAAAUAUAUUAUUUUCAAGUUUUUUUUUAAUUAAUAACUCUUUAAUUUAUAAAAUCAAAUAAUUAUUGCAAAUAUCAUUAUUUUUAGUAUUAUAUAUUUUUUGUAUGUGUAUUUGAAAUAUUUCACAUGAUAUUUGAAAUAAUUAAUUAAAAUAAAUAAAAGAGUUAUUAAUCACGUAAUCCCACAGUCUAAGUUUUGAAGUUUAGUUUGUAUACACAGGCUGAGUCAGCAGAGAAAUCAGAAAGAAGCAGUGUUGACUUUGACCAGCCCACCUGCGGCUUCCUUCAUUCUUCUUCUUUGAACUUGAUUUAGCUUUAAUACUUCAAAAUUCAGUUUCAAAAAUGAAGCUGGAUUAAACUAAGUGAGUUUUUAACAUUUAAUUUUAAGUAAGACUCGAGUUUUUUGUGAUUUAAAUUUCACUACUUCGCUACCAUGAUGGCACUAUCAUUAUUUUUACCUCAACAAUUUUGUGCUGUGAGCAUGGAUCUAUCCGAACGAGGAUACCUGAGAUUCUAACUGUUUCUACUUUCCCUACCACUCCAAGUAGGUCAAACCAGUAAUCAUGUUCACAAUCCUUACACAGAUGUUUUUGGGAGUUGGUUUCAUCAACAACUACAAAACGUUGCUCAGAAUGAUUAUUCUCUACUGCCACCGGCUCAAAACCCAUUGUCAAAUCCUAAUUCUUUAUCUCAACAUUUUCUGGAUCUGCAAGAGCAAAUGAGAGCAUUAAAAGAUCAGAUGCUCCAAUAGAAUCUUAGGCAUGAGCAGCAAUAUUGGCAGUAUCAAGACCAACUCCAGCAAAGUAAUGAAACUAUAAAAGAAUUGAGAACUGGGCAACGUCCUUCUUUAGACGCCCAGGAGUGCAUGCGAGAGCCUCAACAAGAGCACAAUAUGGAUCAAAUUCGUCCUUAUAUGCAACAAGUAUGGCAAGAGGAAAUGGAGGCCAUUGAGAUCGGAUGUGGAAGAUAUGGACUGGGUCCAUUGCUCAAGCAACUUGUUAGCAUCAUAAAUUGCAAGUGUAAAUCUCUUACGAAGGGAAUAAAGAUCAUCGGCCCACUUAAUGUAGUACAAUGAUUCCAUGAACAUAUUGAGGGCCUUUGAUACGUGUAAGUGUAAAGCUUUCCCUCCCACCUUUAGGGGAAAUGUGAAGAACUGGUAUUUUUCUUUGCUAGGGGGAUCCAUCCACAAUUGUGAAUAGUUGGGACGUCUAUUUUUGGGUAGAUUUUGAGCACAUAGGAACAUCAUUAACACGCCUAUGGGUAGAUUUUGACUACUGUGGAAACCCUUUUUUCGAAAUCGACUUUUUUUUUUGAAAAAACCGAAAAUGGAGUCGCCACCAAUCACUUUCAUGAUGUGUGAUCGAAUCACCUUGUAAUUUAAUCAUUUUAAUAAGAUGUUUGAUUUACUAAAACAAUGUUUUUCGAUCUACAAAAUCCAAAAAAUGGGUUCGGGAGUCAAUUGCGCACGAGGAAGGAUUAACACCCUCAUUACGGCCAAAAUUGGUACCUAAUUGAUUACUUGAUGUCUUAGUAUCGAGAAUUGAAAAUCUGUAGAGAAUUUAAAAUACGAUCAUUUUUUGUACUAAGAUAUUUUAAUAGAAAAGGCUUUAUUCUGAAUUAAUCAAGAAGAAGGAUCAUGCUCUAUGAGUUAGGAUACAACACCCUUAGUUUUCGAAAACCAAAAUAAUCACCGUUUUAAUCGUUACUUAAGAUUUUUUUUUUUAAAUUUAUUUUAAAUAGGAUAUUCGAUUAUUUCAGUUCUAAGAAAAUGUCAUACUUCGUAAGUUAGGAGCACGACUUUUUCGAAUCCCAAAAAUAAUGAACACUCUUUUUUGAAUAUUUCAUAUGUUAUAUAAAACAAAGAUGACCCCCUUUUUUAAAACGAUACGUAUAUUUUUAACAAAAACGAAUGAAUAUGUUGUGAUAUAAUAUAUAAAAUGAUAAUAGUAAUGCAACUACGAUAAUAAUGAGAAUACCAAUUUUAAAAUAAUAAUAUCAAUUUUAUAAUAAUAUCAAUAAUGGUAUUAAUCAAAGAGUAGUUAUUAUUAUAUUAAUAAUAUAAGUAAAUAAAAUGAAAAUAACAAGGAUAAAAUAGAAUAACAUGUAUAAAUAGUAUAGUAGUUUGGUAAAAUAAAAUAAAAUGGCUACUUGAGUAGGAUAUUAGAAUGAUAAAAUAUAAAUAAAUUAAAUAAUGUAAUAAUAAUAAAAUAGAUAAGAUUAUUCAAAAUAAAAAUAAACAGAAGAUGCAUGAUUAAAAAGACAAGACAUGAAAGUACUAAAAAUAAAAGAAAUAAAAAAAUAAAGUAAUAAUGACAAUAUGAUAAAAAUGUACAAAAAUGUACGAAAUUAGGAAAAAAAAGACAAUAAUAAAUAAAUAAAUAAAUAAAUCAUGAAAGGUUGAAAUUGCCAUAAUAAAUAAGUAAAUAAUAAAAAAAUUUCAUGAAAAGUUGAAAUUAAAUAAAUAAAUAAUUAAAUUUAAAUUUAAAUAAAAUCAAAUUAUAAAUCGCAAAAUAAUAAAGGAAAAUGGAAAAUAAGGACUAAAUUGAAUGUCUAUUGAAAUCUAAGGUUUGAAUUAAAAAACAUAAAUGACUAAAUUAAAACGAUAUGCAAAGUUUCGAGGCCUUCGAAGAAAUUAACCCAAAAAUACAUGCGUCCUUCCCCCAAGGGUCAGCGGUCUGUGGACCAAAUUGAAAGAAAUUUAAAAUUAAGUGGUGCGAUCUAAAAAAAGAAAAAAAGAAAAAUUAGGACCAAAUUAAAAAGAGGUCGCAAAUAGACCCUUGCUGUGAAAACACCUAGAUCCUAAGGCGGGUCGGGUCAGUUUUCGGGUCGCACCUCAAAACGAUGUCGUUUCAGGCAUCCAUCACUUAAAAUGGUCCAAGGAUCAAAAUGAAAAUAAAAUAAAAUAAAAUGGCAAAAAGAAAAAAAAUGAAAUAGGACUAAAUUAAAACAAGCUGCAAAAUCGGAAGGACCAAAAGCACAAAUAGACCAUUUUUAAAAAAGGAUCCUAUUAAAGGUUCGAGUUAGAUUUCGGGCUUGGCCCCAAAACAAUGUCGUUUUGAGGCUAUUGAUGUCAGCCCUAAACGACGUCAUUUAGCGUCGUCUAUAUAAGCCAAUUUUUUUUAAAAAAUCAUUCUGCUCUAGUUUAAAAAAAAAUUAAAAGCCCCUUUUCUUUUUCUCUCAAUUUUUCCUCCGUCCGGCCAUUGGGCUACCGUCGAUCCGCCGCAGCCACUCUUCGUCGACAACAGCGGCCGCCGUCCCCGAUGGCUGAAGUUCACGAAAAAAAGCCCAUUUUGGCCGUUUUAUUUCCCUCAACCCCGAUCUAAGGCCAAAAUAUCCAAAAAAUCCCACCAAAAUUUGAAAAAAAUCAAAGGAACCUUUCGGUUCUCAGUCAUCUUCUGUCGCGACCAUUCGGCGAGUCCCCAAGGAUCCGUCGGUCUUUCAAAACAGAGGAAGAAGACGACAGCGGCGAUAAAGGUAAAAAAAAAGGUUUCAUUUUUAUUUUAUUAUAUAUAUUUUCGAAAAUAACAGAUAAAAAUAUAAAAAUAUAAAAGAAUCACCUUUUUUUUUUUUUGAGUUUAUAUCUCAUUUCUAGUUCUUUUUUGUAUUCAAUUUCUCUCCUUUUUUUGAUAGAUUUUUUGUGUCCAAAAAUACAUGAUUAUCCUGACUUUUAUAGCCGAAUACAAAAAGAUAUUUUUACUGUUUGUCCAUUGUUCUUGCCUGUUCUUUGCUAUUUUUUGCAAGUGGUGAUUGAGGAGCGGUUGAUGGUGGCAGAGGCUAGGAGCGGCGGCGACACUAGGCUAGGGUGCAGUGCAAAAGGGGCUAGGGUUUCUGUUGAAAAGUGUAACAGCCCAAUUUUGACCCUAAUCUGAAUAGUGGUUUCAGGACCACAAAUCCGAGUCUAAAAAAUAUUUUAAUAUUAUUUUGUGUGUUUAUGAUAUGUGAAUUUAAAUGUGUGAAAGUUUCGUGAAUUAAUUUUGUUGUUUAUGUGUUUAAUUUGACAAAAGUAUCAAAUUACAUAAAAUGUGAAGUUUGCUUAUUAAGGUGUAAAGUGUUUAUUUGAUAGUGGCUUUUAAAUAUGAGGUUCUUAAAGGGCAAUUAGCCCAUUUUAAAGGAUAGUGGAUGGCAAUGAUAGUUAAUAUAUAGUUUUUAUAUAUUAAAUAUAAAAUUUAUAAUAAUAAUAGUAUAAUAUUAUGUUAUUAUAUCAUUAAAACAUAAAAGAAAUAAGCUUUUUCUUCAUUGUUUGUAUCACCGAAAAUAGAAAAGAAAAACAAGGUUUGAGAGCUUGAAAUAUUCGGCCAUUUUGAAGCUUAAUUCCAGGUUAGUUUUUGUUCGGUUUUUGAUAAUUUUUACGUUUUUGAGAUCGUUGCUUUGAAUACUUCAAAACCCAUGUCUUAAUUUUGUGAAUUGUUGAUGAUUUGAGAAAUGCCAUUGAUGAAUGCUUGAGCUUUGUGAUAGUUGAUGAUGAAAUAUGAAAGAUAUGUGAAAGAUUAACAUGCUUUGUUUUUGAAUUUUUGAUGAAUUUGAGUAAUUAGGGUUAAGUUGUAAAAAUAAAAUUUUUAAGGAACUAAAAUGUGAAAUAAAUGAAAUGUGUGGGUUUGUAUGGACACUAGGAAUAUUCGGCCCUUAAGGAGUGUAGUCAAAUUUUGUGUAUUUUGUGUUUUGAGCAAAAAGGACUAAAUUGUGAAAAUAUGAAAUAUUAGGGGUAAAAAUGUAAUUUUCUCAUUUAUGUGUUCUUAUACUAAAUUGAAUGAAAAUAUGUUUAAAUGAGAUUUAUUUGAAUAUGUUUAGAUCAAGAAACCAAGAAAUCGGAUUUAGAUCGGGGGAAAUCAAAGGUAGUUGAGUAGCCGAUCUAUUAGUCGACAAUAUCCGAGGUAAGUUAUUAAGCAUACAUAGUUGUGUCGUUUUAAAUUAUCUUAACAUCUACGUAAUUAUGCUGAAUUGAAUUGAUAUAUAUGUAGUGAUAAAAUUUUUGAAAUAUGACGUAUUGAGUUGUUGACUUCCAACACUAAGUGUGCGAGUAUAAAAAUAUAUGAUAAUGAGAUUAGCACUAAGUGUGCGAGUUUAAUUGAAAUGCACUAAGUGUGCGAGUAUAAGGGUAAAGCACUAAGUGUGCGAGUUUGAUUAUUAAGCACUAAGUGUGCGUACUUAUUAAAUAUUUUCGAAAGAUUAUUAAUAUCGAGUAUUUGACUUAUCGAGGAAUCAUGAGUAAUAAAGUGAGUAAUAAUUAUUUUGGUGGUAUUCAAGAUUAAGUUUUGUAAGUAUUAAACCUAGGUGGUGAUUAUAAUUGGAAUCAUAUUUAUUUAAGAUGAUUCUUUAUAUUUUAUGAUAAUAAAAUGUAUAAUGUACUUGACCUUGUACUUUAAUUGGAAGAAAUGCUUAUAGUUGUGUUAUUAUAUUGAUUUUUGUUAAAUCAUAAUAUGAAGUGAAUAAUUAUAUUAUGCUAUGGUAAGCUAAAGGUAAGAUGAUUUAGAAGUAUGAAUUGGUUAAAUAUUAUUCUAGAUGUCAAGUUAAAUUGUAGAGUUUAUUUGCUUGUAACUUACUAAGCUAAAUUAGCUUACCAUGUGUUGGAUUAUUGUUUGAUGUAUAGAUUUUGGUGAUCGCUACGUGUUCGGGUAUCGUCAGCUAAGCUCAUCACACUAUCGGUGUCUCCUUUUGGUAUUUUGCUAAAUUGUUUUCAAAUAUAUGGCAUGUAUAGCAUAGUUAAAAAAAAUGUUGAUUUUGAAACCAAUGUGUUUGUGUAAUUAAAAGCCAUGCGAAAAUGGCUUAUCUCUUUUUGUUUGAAUUUGACUUUGAUACAUAUAGUUUAAUGUACAAUUUGGGGUAUAUGCUUAUGUAUCAUGUGCAUGAUUAAUUAGAUUUAGAUAAUGUAUAUACUUGGCUUAGAUAUAAGUUCAAUAAUUAUUUUUUUUAAAGAUGUGAUGACCGAUUGUGUGGUGCAAGUUUGAUUUAGUGUAUGCAUAUUAAGCAUGUAAAUUAGGUAUAAAAUUAGAGGUUAAUAGUGAAUAAUAUGGUUCAAGUUGUCAUGGUCAUAUGCGCACAAAAUGGUAGUGAGAAAAUAGGUACAUUUUUGUGUUAUAAAUUUUAAUGUAUAAUGCUGUCCAAUUUUAAGUAUAUUGAUGCUGUCCAUUUUAAUGUAUAAUGCUGUCCAAUUUUGAGUAUAUUUAAGCUGUCUAAUUUGAUGUAUAAUGCUGUCCAUUUAGAGCAUAUUAUUGCUGUCCAAUUUGAUGAAUAAUUGCUGUCCAAAACAGGGUUGGUUCUUUAUGUCUGUAGUAUGUUACAUAGUUAAUAAUUUAUUAAUGAAAUAAAUGUAUGCAAAUAGUAGUUUUAAUAUUGGCUCGGCAUAUGAUAUGUAUUGAAAAAUGUUAAUUUUAAAAUGUUUUAAGUAUUUGAAUGAUAUAAAAUUUUUAAUUAGUAAAGCAUGAUUGAUAUUUGGUGUGGAUUGUUAAUGACUUAUAUUUUUGGUGAAUAAAUUGUUUUUGAUAAUUAGGUGAAAUAAAUUAGGAUUUUAAAUAUAUAUAUUUACAUAUUCAAGACGCAUAUUUAUAUACAGCUUGAUAUUUAGUUCAUUCUGUUAAGUGUAAGAUUUCGAUAUUUAGUAUCACUCAUUAAUCCUAAUCCGACGACGGAUAUGGAUUAGGGGUGUUACAAAAAGUUUUGGGUGUUGGGCCUAUCAGGCCAUUAUGAUUUUUUUGUCUAGUUUCUGUUUGGGUUGAUUAGGCCUUUUUAUUUGUAAUUCGGGCCUAGGAUAAAUUGUCCUAUUACAACUACAUUAAUCGCUUUCAUAUGGUGACCCUUAACACAAGGGAUCUUAGUGAUCAUGGGCAGUGGAUGCAUUCACAAUGUGUGUAAACAACAAGCAUGUAUGGUACUCCUUUACUAAUAACAAGCCUCAAGACGUGGUUAACCUGUAUGAGAGAGCUAAAAAAUUUACAAAAUUUGAGAAAACUGAGGAAUCUGCAUUUGAAUUUUCUACCUCGUCGUAAAAGAAAUGGAGAUCACCUCGCCCAUGGGCAAACAUUAAGUAGAUAUCAAGAUCAUAUUCUCCCCAACUUAAGGGUGAACUUAGGAGCGAGGACAACAUAAUACGCAUUUCCUCGAUUCUUUAAAGAUCUCCUCAAGGAGUAUCACCUCACAUUUUGAAGCAUAUGAAGAUAAAAGGCACCAAGGUCCCUAUAACAAGUUGAACAAUUAUACUCCUUUAAACUCUUGAGGAACCUACAUCUUGAAUUAGGUUUGACCAAAAUAUUCUAGAAAAUAUUCUUUCAAUGAAACCCUAUCGGUUCAGAAUUCUCUCUAAAGAUAGACGUCAAUUUCAUGAUGAUUUAUGGCAUAAGAUUGGGUACUUUUUCUUGACACGUGGCAAUAUAUCAUCGGUUGAUUUUAUUAACAAAAAUUUGGGUUAAGGAUAACCAUGAUUACAAAAUGGAAGUAUAGGGGCCAAACUAAUAAAAAAUAAAAUACAAGGAUUAAACUAAUAAAAAAAUUGUAUAGGUACUAAAGUGAUAAUUUAACUAAAAUACAUGAGUCAAAAGAAGUAUUAAGCUUUUAAAUUUAUAUAUAUAUUAAGGUCUUCCGAUCAAAUUUCAGUUUUGAUCCAUCUACUUCUUUUCUUUUGAAAUUAUAUAUUCAAAAUUAAUAUUUGAUAAAAUUUUGUCCCUCAAUUUUUCGUCUAAGUUUUCCUAACAUUAUAAGGUUUUGAUUAAAUUUUAAUUCUAAUCCCUCUCUUUUCUUUUCUAAGAUUAUAUAAAAAUAGUCAACUUUCAGUUUUGGUCUCCAUAUUUUAAUUUUUGACAUAAUUUCAUACAUUAACUUUUACAAUGUCAUUAGUCUAAAUAAUUUAUUCUAAUUAAAUGUUGACAUCAAUUUUAAGAAUCGUUAACAUAGUUAAAUUUUUUUAUUAAAUUUAGGUCCAUUACAAUGUUAAUUUUUUUCACAUGACUAUUUAGCGAAUAUUUUUAAAAAAAAUUACAAAAUGUUACAAUAACAAAUUUAACAAAAAAUUCUAACCCUGUUAAAAAUUAGACUUAAAUUUUUAAAUUCAAAAAAUAAAAAAAUUAAAUUCCUUUAAAUAAAAGUACGAGGACUAAACUUUAAAUAUAUAAAAAAUACCAAAACUAAAACAUAUUUUAACCUUUUUAAGUUUUUACUUAAUAAUUUAGUUUUAAAAAAUUAACCAAUGAAAAGAGAGGGUGAGACCCGUACUAGCAGAAAUACAAAAUAACGUAGUAACGGUAAGAAUAACGGAUAUAAAACAAAAGCUUGUCCCAACGGAAGAGACGAAUGACGGAAAACGUUAAAACUGCUCAAUAAUUAAAAAACGUCGGCGAUUAAUUUAUUUCAAUUUUAUCUGUUUUUCUCCAAAGUUUUCUCGGGAAAAUUUCAAAUCUCGUCCUUAAUAAUUAGAUAAGAAUUCAAAGGGCUGUUUGGGAAGUUUAGAAACAAAAAGAAAAAAAGAGAGAAGAAAAUGGAAAGCAGAGACAGAAGACCAAGAAACGGAAGAAAAUAAAUAUAAGAAAAGAAGAAGAAAAGAAGGGAAAAAUGGAGGGAGAGGUGGAAUCACAUGCGCAUUAGUUCACUGUCGUUCUCCUAGGCCCUCGUUUGCUUGUUCUAAUUCUUGUUAAUCAUCAUCAUAUUCCUUUUUGCUCGUCAUGGCUGACGAUAAGGUAAACUUUCUUCUUUUCUUUUUUCUUUCAAAUUUUUUCUGAUAUCGGAAUUCGGAAGUGAAUCUUCGAAUUUUUUGGUGAAUGUUUUGCUUAUGAUUAUAUUAGAUCCUUUUUUUAAAAAUUAUUAUUAGAUUUUCUUUUAUUUUUUAUGGCGUUGUAGUUGAUUAUGCUAAUCGAGGAACCCUAGAUAAUGAGAUUUUGCUAUGUAUUUGUUCGAUCUGUCUGUGAUCACUUCUCUGUAUUUUUUUUUUGUAGUUAUGAGCUUUUAAUUAUUUUCUUUAAAGGUCGAAAUUUGUAUCAUUUCUUUAAAGGUCGAAAUUUGUAUCAUUCUUUUUUUCUUUUUCCUUUUGUGGUUUUAUGUGUGUGUUUUUAGCUUAGGUUAAAAAUUAUCGGAUCAAAUUGAACAUUGUAGCUUAAAUUAUUAAAUGGAUUUGUUCUUUUUUGGACUUCGUAACUUUUAUCAAGGGAAAAGCUGGUUCUUUUGAAUCUUCAUUUUUUUUGCUCCUUAAAAGUUUCAUAUCUCUUUUUUCUAACCAUGAGAUUCUUAAUUUAUCAGGAAAUGUCGGCCCUUGUUGUUGAUGUCAAUGAUCCGGUUACCGGUCACAUCAUUUCCACAACGAUUGGAGGCAAAAAUGGAGAGCCUAAACAGGUAUAUUUCACUUAUUGUGUUACCUACUUUCAUAUAUGUUCAGAUUAUGCUUUAGCUAUAGGCUUUUACAUGGUUAAGAUCAAUGUUAGUAAUGAUAACAAGAUUGUUUUACUUGGGAUUUCAUGUUUCCUAUGUCUUGAUUAUUGUAGACCAUCAGUUAUAUGGCUGAGCGUGUAGUUGGCACUGGAUCUUUUGGGAUUGUUUUCCAGGUACCGAGACAUAGUUAGACUGUAGUUGAAACUGAUCUUAUGUUGAUGAUAUUUAACAUGCUGAUGCAUCUUUUCUUUCAGGCAAAAUGCUUGGAAACGGGUGAGACCGUGGCUAUAAAGAAAGUUUUACAGGACAGGAGAUACAAAAAUCGUGAACUGCAGUUGAUGCGUGUGCUGGAUCAUCCGAAUGUGAUUUCCUUGAAGCAUUGUUUCUUUUCCACGACAACGAAAAAUGAGCUUUUUCUUAACUUGGUUAUGGAAUAUGUACCAGAGAGCAUGUACAGGGUUUUAAAACACUACAGCAGUGCAAAUCAAAGAAUGCCGCUUAUAUAUGUCAAGCUUUACACAUACC